CGGCGCGUCUUAAGCAUGCAAGUCGAACGGUAAGGGAGAGCUUGCUCUCCCCUAGAGUGGCGGACUGGUGAGUAACGCGUGGGUGACCUGCCCUGAAGAUGGGGAUAGCUAGUAGAAAUAUUAGAUAAUACCGAAUGUGCUCAUUUACAUAAAGGUAAAUGAGGAAAGGAGCUACGGCUCCGCUUCAGGAUGGGCCCGCGUCCCAUUAGCUGGUUGGUGAGGUAAAGGCUCACCAAGGCAACGAUGGGUAUCCGGCCUGAGAGGGUGAACGGACACAUUGGGACUGAGAUACGGCCCAAACUCCUACGGGAGGCAGCAGCUAAGAAUCUUCCGCAAUGGACGAAAGUCUGACGGAGCGACGCCGUGUGAAUGAAGAAGGCCGAAAGGUUGUAAAAUUCUUUUGCAGAUGAAGAAUAAUCAUAGGAGGGAAUGCCUGUGAGAUGACGGUAAUCAUGCGAAUAAGCCCG
rnacentral:rRNA from 1 species